rnacentral:rRNA from 1 species
UUCCCCCAGUAGUGGCGAAUGAAGAGGGAAAAGCUCAAGUUUGAAAUCUGGCGGGUGACCGUCCAGAGUUGUAAGCUGGAGAGGUGUCGUCCGACGCGGUCCAGGCUCAAUUUCCUUGGAACAGGAGGUCAUGGAGGGUGAGAACCCCGUACAUGGCUUGGGCGCCGCCGUCCUUGUGACGCAUCCUCUAAGAGUCGGGUUGUUUGGGAAUGCAGCUCAAAAUGGGUGGUAAAUUUCAUCUAAAGCUAAAUAUGGGCGAGAGACCGAUAGCAAACAAGUAGAGUGAUCGAAAGAUGAAAAGUACUUUGAAAAGAGAGUGAAACAGUACGUGAAAUUGUUGAAAGGGAAGCGUUUGGGCAUCAGCCCAUGGCGGUGGUACGAACAUCCUUGCUUCGGCAUGGUGCACUCGUCCACCGUUGGGCCAGCGACGCUCUGCCUGCCAGAGAAAGGCCUUGGGGAAGUGGCUCUCCCUUCG